CUGGUGAUCAUGCCGCCACUGGUGGCCCUGACUGCCGAGGGAACGGUAGCCUAGGACAGUUGGCUGUUAAGUGACACUUAUUCUCCCCGCCCCUCCCGACCCCCAAGAAGGAGGGACGUCCCCUGCCGUGUGAGGGGCUGGGGAAGUGGGUAGUGAAUUCGGAUCCACCUGGGAGGGGGGAGUGGAAGUUCCCGCCCCGGACAGCGGCGAGGCGGCAGCCACAGUUGAUUAUGGAAGAUUCCCACAAGAAUAACACUUCAGAGACAGCACCUCAGCCUGGUUCAGCAGUUCAGGGAGCCCAUAUUUCUCAUAUUGCUCAACAGGUAUCAUCUUUAUCAGAAAGUGAGGAGUCUCAGGACUCAUCUGACAGCAUAGGCUCCUCACAGAAAGCCCACGGGAUCCUAGCACGGCGCCCAUCGUACAGGAAAAUUUUUAAAGAUCUAUCUUCUGAAGAUACACGAGGCAGAAAAGGAGAUGGAGAAAACCCUGGAGUUUCUGCUGUCACUUCUAUGUCCGUUCCUACUCCCAUCUAUCAGACUAGCAGUGGACAGUACAUUGCCAUUGCCCCAAAUGGAGCCUUACAGUUGGCCAGUCCAGGGACAGAUGGAGUACAGGGACUUCAGACAUUAACCAUGACGAAUUCAGGCAAUACUCAGCAAGGCACAACUAUUCUCCAGUAUGCGCAGACCUCUGAUGGACAGCAAAUACUUGUGCACAGCAAUCAAGUGGUAGUACAGACGGCAUUGGGAGAUAUGCAGACAUAUCAGAUUCGUACCACACCUUCAGCUACUUCUCUGCCACAAACUGUGGUGAUGACAUCUCCUGUUACUCUUACAUCUCAGACAACUAAGACAGAUGACCCCCAAUUGAAAGGAGAAAUAAGGUUAAUGAAAAACAGAGAGGCUGCUCGAGAAUGUCGCAGAAAGAAGAAAGAAUAUGUUAAAUGCCUGGAAAAUCGAGUUGCAGUCCUGGAAAAUCAAAAUAAGACUCUAAUAGAAGAGUUAAAAACUUUGAAGGAUCUUUAUUCCCAUAAAAGUGUUUGAUUCUUAACAAAGAAAAUAUUUUUGUGGACUUGCCUAAAAUUAUAUUUGAUUUUUAGUGGAGUUUUAUAAAUUAAAAGGUCAGAAGUGGAGCUUUUUAUGUAGGCUUUUGCAACUCAAAUAUCUUUGUAAGAUAUCUGGUGACAGAGGAUAAAGUGGAAAGUGACCUCAAGGAAGCUACUGGCAAAACUGGAAGCUUUGUAAAAAUGAAACAUACUCAAGAAGCAAGAAACGAACUUUCAGCAAUUUGAAUUUUCUUUCUUUUUUUUUUUAAUUUGAAUUUUCUAAGUAACAAUAGUUGUCAGUCCAAAAAUGGCAGAUAAAGAUGAGAUUUGGUAAAUUGGAUUUUUAGAAGUAAAUCAGUUUACCCUAUAGGUUUGCAUUUCUUACUGUUUUUCUGAAAUUUACCUUUUUCAGUUUGUGUGUGUGUGUGUAUUUUAUUUCUGCCAAUACAUUCUAAAUUACAAAUGUAAAAGAAAACCUAACACAUUACUAAAUACAUAAAUUAUGUGUUCUGAUUACAUACACUUGUUCUAUUGUCGAAUCUUUUAAAAGAGUUUUUAAAAGUUUGUUUGUUGGACUUGAGAGAGUUUUUG